GGACUGGUGACCCCACAGACCCCCGCCCGCCGUCCUGCUCUCCCUGAGACUGAGCUCACUCCAGCCCCCACAGCUGGGUCUCCUCUGCUCCCCUGUGCCUUGCCCUCUCGUACCUGAGGGUAUCGCCUCCCUGUCGGCAGGCUGGGAUUCCAUCUCCUCCAUUCCCCUCUUCAUUCCAGUUUCCUGGCUCCAUCUCCUUUCCCAGAUCCCACCAGUGGCCGUCCACCAUCAACACCUGUUCGUGGUGUGUAUACUCUGUAUCACUGGGCAAAGAAGUGCCAAACCAUGAAAUCUCCUGUGUGCUCUGCAUAAGGGCAGCUGAAGCCAAGGGCCAGUAACUGCCCUGGCACCAGUAACUCAGGGACUUUGAUUUUCCUGGAACAGAUUUUCCUGUGUGCUGCUGUAAAAUGGGUCGAUGCUCACUGAUGCCUAGAACAUGUCCUGAUUUGGGGGUAUCAGUGGGGAGUGACUCUCUUGCUGCAGACCAACAACAGAAAAACUGUGUGGAGCAUGAGGCAUUGUUUUGUUAGGCCUAACACCAUGUCUGCAUUGAAUAUUAAAACAGUUGAAUGUAUUUCAGGUGCAUUGUUGUGCCAAGAUAUUUUGUAGGUCUUACCACAUGCUUAAAAACUAGAGGAUGGAUGAAAAAAACCACAAUUAAUAUUUUUUUCUCAAUAAUAUAUUGGGAUGCAUUUUUUCAUUACCCAUGCAACUCUUACAUGGUGAGGCUGCAGCUGUGGUGCAAUGUGUUCAAGCUUCUCUCUGCAACCAUGAGAACAUUUUAAAAUGGAGACUUGAGAUUCUUUUUGGGGUAUGUACAGCCCCUAUUGUGCUGGCAUGUGGUGUUGCAGUGCUGGGCAAACUAGGAUAGCUGUGUGGCAUAGCUCCAUGUAAAGGUGUUAAUGCAGGUCUGGGACUGGUGCCUGGAUAAUUCCAUGUUAGCAGGGCCUAUGAGUUGUGCUUUAUGCAUUGGUAAUGUUAGUCCCUGCUGCUGAGUUUCUGGACUUUGUUGAGGUUGUGGUCACAGUGUGGGACAGACACACAUCUACUCACCUGAAUCCAGAAGACAGACCCCCAGGAGAAGCAAAUAGCGUAACACUAAUUGUAAUAGAAGUAUAAUUUUGAAAAUGCUUUCACAAGAGAAAUUAUAGCUAAGAUAAUACCAGUGAUUACAUGAUUUCAAGUGCUUUCAUUUCCAGGUGCCCUACUAGCUACAUCUUCAAGAAAUCAUACUUUAUGAAAAUGGGUUCUCAGCAUUUUCAGGUAGCUCAAGCCAAGAGUGAGAUAAAUUACUUACAAAUCUUGCUUGAACUACUUGCUCAAAAUGUGAUCUAAAAUCAGGAAAUCCUGGGGGGCGGGUGUGGUGGUGGUGGAUAUUAGUCACAGUAGCUAGAGUGGAAUUGAUGUGGGAAACCUAAAUAUUAAGGAAGGAAAAUUCCUGUUAGGACAUUGUUUUAAUCUGUCUGCUAGUCAUAUUACACAAAGUAGGUUUAAGUCAUUUCAGAGGUUUCAUUGUAUCAUUAUUGAUUGCUGCUUGGGAGAAUUCACAAGGACAACAUCUAUCUCAUGCUGGAAUGCUGACUUUGCCAGAGGAAAGGAGAUUGCCACAGAGGAUUAAUUGCUGAGACCUGAGCAGCUGCCGAAGCUAUCGAAGAAGGAACUGUUUUCUUGGAGGGUGAUGUAGCAAAGUGACAUUGGGAGAAGUUGCUUCCCUUUUUCAGCAUUUGCUGAGCCCAUGGAGUUGUAUGGCAUAGGGGGCACCGAGACAUAAGUGACUUUUUCUCCUCUCCCACCCCCUCUGCUUAAGGGAUCUUGGAGAUUUCUUCCUUUGGUUACUGAUCAACAGUGGUAGUCUAAAAAAAGCUGUGAAAAGUGUAAGUUUUCUUACAGAAGAGUUUGGCAGUGGCCACCGGCAUUAUGGGUGCAGAUAUGGUCAGAAAUGGUCACAAAAUAGUGAUAAAACUGGGUGGUCCUUGCAUUAUGAACUAUACUGAGUAUACCAAACUAUGGCUUAGUCCCAAAUUCUGCCUAAGCAUCCAAAUGAGUUUUCCACCUUUUAGUUCUUCCAGAAAUGUCCAAACUCCCUGACAUUGCUGGUGCCUAUGAGGAUGAAUGCCACAAGCUGGUAAAUCCCAAAACAGACCAUAACAGAAAUGUCUGAAUGAUUACCAUUAAUUGGCCAGCUUAGACCCUUUGUUGAUAGAAAAGAGUAUCCCUCAGCUGAGAGCUAGAUCUCUCAGACAGAGAAUUCAAACCUGCCGUAAGAUGUACAGCAUGACUGGCAAAGGUCAGUUUGGUCCACCAGAUCCCUCUUCCUGGAGAGGAGUUAAGUAGUGUUGGCUGUACUAAAAUAUUUAGGAAACAUCACACCAGACACAGGGUCACCACACUGACCACAGCAUAAGGGGACUGCUUUUAUUUGUUUGUUUGCUUUUCAAGAGGAACGUGGUACUUGGAGGUAAACAUGAGAAGCUUUCACCUUUCCAAGUCAGACGAGAUUUGUGCUUGAGAGAUACCUCACAUUUCCUUUAACAUAUGACAUGAUGGGCAGGUCUAGAUUUUAGCUGUCUCAGGCCCACUAGACUGCCCAUACAGGCUUGCCAGUGGUCAACACCUUUAAUGAAAGCUUGAAAACAUGACAGGAAUCUGAAGGCAUCAGAAAGAUUAAAUUUAUAUACUAUAUUGAUGCACUGAACUGUGAAAUAAAGCAUACAUACAUUCAGAUAAAAUUAAGCCAGUUUGCAGUCAUUACCUGUAUGCCAUGAGAUGGGGUCCUCAGGAUUAGCUAUUGUGCCUGUCUUUAGUCCAAUGGUGAGGGAUUUUCUGGCCAUAGAAGCAGAACAUGCUUAUCUAUCCCAUUCUGUAAUAGAUAGGGUGUACAUGUCUAUCUGGAUGCCUCCAGGUGCUGUAUCUAAAACUACCUGAGUGUGCCUGUCUCUCUUCCUCCACACUGAGUUUUCCUUAGCACAUUCCAAAAGCAUAUACUUGCAUUGCUUAAUUAUUAUUAAUAGUAAUAUUAUGCAGAAGUCACAUGCUUUAUAGGGUAUUUUGGGAUCUGUGACUCACUAAACCAUAAUUUUCUGUUCACAGGUUACCUGAAGAAAAUUGUCUUUUUGGAAUUCUAUUCUUGGCUGGAAGAUGUGGGGGAAAUUGUAAAUAUUGUGAAAAGUACUGGAUCUUACAUAUCUGUGAGCUGUCCCAGCCUUCCUCCAGGUGCAAUUUUUUCUGCCUGCACAUAAGAUGAUUAAUUUACAGGCAUAUGGAACAGAUUCUCUGAAUUUCAGGAUACUGCUGUAAGGAAACUGGAAAGGCUCCUCAGACAGCUGAGGAAGCUGGACACUUGGGCUCUGGUGGGGCAUUGAAGGGCUGGAGAAUCUUUCCUAUGAAGACAGGCUGAGGGAGUUGGGGUUGUUCAGCCUGGAGAAAAGAAAGCUUGGAUGGGGGGGACCUUAUUGUAGCCUUUCAGCACCUAAAGGGGUUAGAAAAGAGUUGGAGAGGGACUUUUGACAAGGGCAGGUAGUGUUAUGAUAUGGAGGGAUGGCUUCAAACUGAAAGAGGGUAGAUUUAUUGGACAUAAAGGAGGCAUUUGUCUUUCAUGGAGGAGGUGAGGCAGAGAAGCUUCUAGAGGUUGCCCAGAGAAGCUUCUAGAGAACACAUCCCUAGGAGUGUUCAAGACCAAGCUGGAUGGGUCUUUGAGCAAUUUGUGCUAGUGGAAGUUGUCCAUGCCCAUGGCAGGUAGGUUGGAACAUGAUGAUCUUUAAGGUUCCUUCCAACCCAAACCAUUCUGUGAUUCUUCUAGAUGGAUGUGAAUCCACUGUAGCAUUUAUGCUGUUAGGUGAGCUUUUUAUAAACUGGAACUCUAAAGACUGCUAUGAGGAAGCAAUUUUAUAUAUAUUGAAAACCAGGUAUCAAUUUGGAAAGCAGUAUAGCAUAUAAGGCCUCGUUCCAGUUCUUGUGUAUUCAUUCAUGUUGAUGGGACUGUUGACUAUGUGAGAGUUGUUUCAUCAAAUCCUUCCUACCAAAGCACAAGCCUCACCUAUUUCCUAUUGUGAUGAAAAUAGUGUCAAUCCCUUGUGAACAGAAAAGAUCCCUCAUUGCCUUAAUUCAACUGCAGAAUUCCCAAACAGCAGCAAGCUUCCAGCAUAAACAGCUGCUGCUGCUGCUGCUACAGUCUGUCACCAGCUUAGUCAAUCAUCCAUUAUUUAUUUCCAAACUGUAUGUAAAGCUCUGCAGCAUAGCCUUUUAUGUCCAUAUAUAGGGAAAAGAAGAGAAAGAACUUCUGAAAGCCCAGGAGAACAAAAACAGAGAAGCCUCUGAAAUCCUUUGUUGGGGAAAUUGUCUUAUGUAGUUAUAUCCAAGGAAGAGAGGAAAGGGAAAUAAAAUCACAUUUAACAGAAGGUAACACCUUGGUACAAAUUCCUUUGAUCUCUCAAUAUCAUUUGUUGUAGUCAAAAUUCCUUUUUAGAACAUGAGAUCCUUUGUUUACCAGUGUCCAUCAAACACAACACACUUGGAGAGUAUUGUGCAUGUCUUUUUCCGCAGUCUGCAUUCUGUGUUGGGUCAGUUCUUCCUGCGGGCUGUUUGAUGCCUGCUGACUGCUUGGUUGAGAAUGGUUAAUCAGGACUACAAUGAAUCUCCCAGGAAUAGUAUACAAUCAAGGAAGAAUAGCUCACAGAAAUGUUUUCAGGCAAAUAAGAGAGUCCCUGUGACAAGCCGUUGCAUGUGUGCGUAUAUGAGCAGCAUCUUUGUCACAAAAAAUGCAUGCUGACAAUACUAAGAGGUGGAUGGGUAAACAGAGCAGCUGUUCAGAAUUAAAACAACUGUUCCAAAUUCUGGUUUUAGCAUUCUGGAUUAUUUCCUUCUUUUUCAUAAAUGCGGUAACAAAUUGCUAACUAAGAGGUUUACCCAUGAACCCAGAACUGGUCAAAUCACAAUUUAACAUCAUUCCCAGUGUUUCUUUUUGCACUUUAAUUAAAAGUGAGUACUCUGAUUUGCAGAAGAGCCACACUGGAAGGAAAUGCUGAAAAAAAAAAAAAAA
rnacentral:lncRNA from 1 species